ensembl:lncRNA
GGCUACUGCUGAGUUUUUCAAAUUUGCUGGCAUAUUGAGUAUAGUAUUUUAACAGCAUCAUAUUUUAUGAUUUGAAAUAUCUCAGCUGGAAUUCCAUCACCUCCGUUAGUUUUGUUCAUAGUGAUGAUUCCUAAGGCCCACUUGAUUUUGCAUUCCAGUAUGUCUGGCUCUAGGCUUACAUCAAACAGUGACCACUGCAUUGCUAAACAUGCAGAAUCAAGUGCAUGAACACUGCAGAAGAUCAACUGGGAUUUUUGUUUCUGAAGAGAAGAAUUCUCAUUCAAAAUAUAAGUGUGGUUUAGAGUUCAUAACCCUGCUCUUUCUGAUCCUGAUUUCAGCUCCGUUUGCCACAGCUGGUAUUUUGAUAACUUCUGUGUGGGUUUUCCAAAAGUUUCAAAGAAAAUUAAAAAAAAGAU